UACGAAGGGGGCUAGCGUUGCUCGGAAUCACUGGGCGUAAAGGGUGCGUAGGCGGGUCUUUAAGUCAGGGGUGAAAUCCUGGAGCUCAACUCCAGAACUGCCUUUGAUACUGGAAGGCUUGAAUCCGGGAGAGGGAUGCGGAAUUCCAGGUGUAGCGGUGAAAUGCGUAGAUAUCUGGAGGAACACCGGUGGCGAAGGCGGCAUCCUGGACCGGCAUUGACGCUGAGGCGCGAAAGCCAGGGGAGCAAAGCGGG
rnacentral:rRNA from 1 species